UUCUCACUGCUUCGGCCCGGAGAGACUGAGAAGGAGAAUCCUGUGGUUGAGGAUACGUGGUCGGACGCAGAUUGUCUUCCUAGUGUUACUGGAACAACAAGGCAGUGAGAUCAUAUCAGUGUUAAACGUUUGAGAGUUGUUUCCACUCAAAGGCUAUUCUGUUCGGCGGAUCAGCCGGCUGAUGUAGGAGGCAUUGGCUGGGGGGGAGCUCUUCGGGCCCCGGUGCUGCUCCUCAAACACCGGCUCUGCUUUGGAGUUUUUCCAGCUCUUCCCGGACAACAGGUUGUCCCAUACUUUCCCAUCUUUACUCGGGGAGCUCCCACCGGUUCUGCCCAGCUCCACCGCCGAGUUUUUCCGGUUCCUCCCGGUCAGGAGAGACCCAACUCCCCCGCCGGUGCUGUCAGAGGAGGAGUUCUUGCGCUGGCUCGUUUUGGAACCGGAGGUUUU